UUGCCUAGAGGGUUGCUGGUUUGAAGGAGUGGGCCUCACUGGUGGAAUGCCCCAGGCUUGAAGCCUUGCUUCAGGCCCCCUGCUAUGAGGCUGGCUGCUGCUGCUGCUCUUGGACCUUGCUCCUUUCCUACGUCAGCGAGAGAGACCUUUCCUGCCAUGCUGGUAAUCUGCUUCCAUGCUCCUAGAUCAAUUCUGAGCACCUACAAUUUCCACUCUUCUGAGAUUGUGAUGACCUAUUAAAUACAUGCAUCAAAAAAGAAUACAUGUCUUGGAAUCAAGCAGAUAAUGUGAGAGUAUAUAGACCUGUAUGGAUGCAAACAAAGCUGGCCUGGGGUGAAGGUGAUCAAAUAACAUCCACAACAAUUGGCCUUUACAUAGUGUUUUAAGUGCCCAGUCAUACAUUUCAAGAUCCAUUUUCUGGGAAGAGUACCUUGGACAGAUGGCAACUCCUGGAAAGAACUGGCCGCCCUGGCACCACCAGCUCCAAAGAGUUGGAAUGCCCCUUUCAAGAGUCAAGAUUUUCUAGAAUGAUGGUAACAACGACAUCCACACUAAUGGUACAACUGCUGAUGCCAGCAUGGCAGAAAGAACUCUGGCCUAUGUUCAAGCUCUGCAGAAAGUCUACACAAUCCAAAUGUCUCCUGAA